AAUGGAGCUGGGGUUGUAGUUCAUACUGGAAAGUCAAAUACAUAAUGUUCAGUGUGUAAAAAGGUACAUACUUUGUACAAAAUGUCAGCAACAUUUUGCUCAAAGUGAAGUUCAUGUUUUAAUACUCCCUGGGGAAGGUUACUAGGAGGUACUGUGACCUCAUGAUCAAAUCACGAUGAACUUCAGAAUGAAUUCUUAUAAGCACAGCUCUGACUGUGCUGAUUUUAGCAAUGCAAUGGUGGCAGACUGGGUAAAGAAAAUGUUUUCUUUAGAACACCUCGUGACCCUAAAUGUUGUCAUAGUAGAUUUACCCCUGCUUGGGAAUACCCAAAAAUCACCUUCCAGAGGAUUCUUAGGCUAAGAGCUACCUUCCUGGAAGUCUUUACUAGUAUUAGGAUUUCCUUUAUCUUUAACUCUUCAUGACUUAAAGACUGUUUGUUUUGUUUUUCCAAUGAAAAGUUUCAUAACUCCUGGUAAAGUAGAAGAUGCAAGGUAACAAACAGCUUUGCCAUUUGGUGACAAAGAGAGAUAUCAUUUGUAAGUUGCAAUUAAAUUCAUCAAAUGCAAUUUCCUGCUUUUCCCAAGGUUUUCAGCAAAUCCUAUUGGGAUUCAGGCUUUCUUGGUUGCAGUUGGACUUCUUAGUCUUCUUAGUAUUUUUGUUCAUACUUGGAUCACUGAUGUAACUGAGAAUCUCUGCCUUUAGUUCCCAGUGUGCACACUGCAUAUUAUCAUGUGGCAAGCUCAAUCUUGAAAGACCUCUGUUCUGUAGCCUGGAAUCAAGCUAUCAUGCACACACUAGGGCAAGAUGCUGUCUUCAUUCUGAACCAUCAAAAAGCCCAUAAAAGAGAGGCAAAACAUCAUUUCCAAUACAUUUGGAAAAUCGGUCUGUUGCUUCACAUUUUGCUUUGUCACUGUGUAUGAAGACAUCAAGAAGCAGCUUUAUGUUGAAGAAAACUCUUUCU
rnacentral:lncRNA from 1 species